AGACGCUGGUAGCUCCUGGCCAGCUCAAGGUGUUUCCUUUUGCCUGGUAACCAGGAGGAGUGGCUGAGGCAGGGCAUGGAGCGGAGCAACGCAGCUACAAAGUGCGGAGAGGAGCCCCGCUCUGGAUCCCGCCGGCUCCCCAAGGCUGAAGGAGACAAGUCUGGAUCCGCAGGAGCCCCCAGUAAGAACAGCAGCCGCCUGGGGGGCCGACCAUGUAUGUGUACAGCUGGCCGCCGCCCAAACAGGGCGUCUGGCCGCCGCCGCCGCAGCUGCUCACCUGCACCUACCUGGCCGCCCCUCUGCUGCUACCCCCAGUCCAGGCCCACAGCUUCCGCAGCCGGCCCGGGAGCCUGCAUGCGGGCGAGUGGGCGGCCCCACGGGAAUACCACCGCUUCUACGGCCCCGCCGCGCCACCCGAGGCCGCGCCGCCCUGGUGGGCCUGCCCUCCGGCCUACGCCACGACCCUGCGCCGGCCCUGCGCCGCCGCCGGCAUCUCGGGACUGUCGCUGCAGGCGCCCGCGGCGGUGGCCGAGAGCUGGGCGCCGUGGCCGGAGGGCGGGAGCCUGCAAACCGAGCUGCGCUGGGGCCGCGUGGAGCGCGCGCGGGGCCCCCCUCUGCAGCUACCGGACUUCGUGCGCCGGGAGCUGCGGCGCGCGUACGGCACCUACCCCCGCGCCGACGUGCGCGUCACCCAGCGCCGCGGCCAGUUCCUGCUGCAGGCGACGCCGCGCGUGCUCGAGCCCGACCACCGCGUGGAGUGGCGCGUGCGGCGCCGGCCCGACAGCGGCGACAGCAGCCCAGCCCGGGAAGCCGCGGAGCGCGGCCGCCCCAGGAAGAGCAAGGGCCUGAGCUGAAGCCGCCGCAAGGCCUAGGGGCGGGCCCGCGUGCACGCGCUUGGCUCUUUCCUGUGUGUGCCGCCGCCGACAGGCAGAAGUGAGCCCUCACCUGUGCGCGGGAGGCGGACGCGCUGCUCACCUGUCUUUUUGGCUUCUCCCAUGACUGCCGGCCAGUUUCCUGCACUUGUUUCUCUCGCUUUAUUGCUGGACGGUGGGAGAAGGGCAAGUGCAAGACGGAAUCGAGGGCACCUCUGGGUGUUCUGUACCUCUUUUCUUCUUGCACCUUGGGAAGUGGAGGACGUGGGAUGGAAGAAGGGCCUGGACCUCCCUCCUUCCUCCUCCCCACCUUCUCCUAAGGAGCUUGCCCUGCAGUAAGCCCCAACUUUCCCUUCCUCUUUUCCCUCUAUCAGAGUCGUCGCCCACCCCCCUUUCCCACCGCUCCCCUACCCCCGCCUUCCUGCCAAGCCGAGGGCGACGGUGAUCCCCAGCUUAGUAAGAAAAGUAAAUAGGCCGGGCGCGGUAGCUCACGCCUGGAAUCCCAGCACUGUGGGAGGCCGAGGCGGGCGGAUCGCUUGAGCCCAGGAGACCAGGUUGGAGACCAGCCUAGGCAACAUGGCGAAACCCUGUCUCUAC
rnacentral:lncRNA from 1 species